GCUGCUGUAAGGUAGCAGUAAGGAUUGUGUGGGGUGUAAACUGUAUGAGAUGGGAGGACACUUUGCAGGUGAGCCCCACCCUCUCCUGUUGCACAGACUGCUAGCAGAGAGAGCAGCAAACACACCUGGACAACACAAACCUGUGGGAUAUUCACAUUUUACCACAUAUGCAAAAAAGAGAAAGGUUCUCCUGAAGUCCCUUCUCCCCUGCGUCUCCAGAGGGCCUCUCCCAUGAUGAAGCUGACCGGUGCUAUUCUACUUCUCUCGUUGGUGUCGCUAGUCCACGGUGCCUGCUCUCUCAAUGGGAGGAACAGAGGAGACCUCUAUGACUGCCCAGCGGAUGUGUACAUUGUUCUGGACACCUCAGAGAGUGUGGCACUGAGGGCCAAGCCCUACGGCUCCUUUGUUGAUCAGAUCAAGAAGUUUGCCCUGGACUUUGUGGACCAGCUCAAUACUAGAUACUACCGCUGUGAGCGUAACCUGACGUGGAGUGUGGGAGUGCUGCACUACAGUGAUGAGGUAAAGGUGAUGAGGGAGCUGACCAGCACCAAGGAGGCCCAAGGAAGAGCUCAGCUGAAGAGAGCUAUACAGGACAUUCGCUACAUCGGCAAGGGAACCCACACCGACUGUGCCAUCUCCGUAGCAACUGUGCAGCUGAUGACAGGACUUGGUUCCAUAGCAACAAAUGUACAACACACCCAUAACAUGUCUGCUACUAGUGAGGACCUGCAGGUUGUUAGGAACACCAUCAGCUCCAUAGUGUCUACCAUGUACAAGGAUUCUGAAUCUGUGGCGGAAGGAGGAACGUUAAUCAAACCCUGGUGAUUUGGCUCAUGUACUGCAGUUCAUAUACAGGAACUCCAGGACGUCAGGGGGUUGCUGGGAGACCGGGAAGUGUGGGAGCAAAGGGGACUGCAGGUGACCAGGGGCCCCAAGGACACAGAGGAGAGAAG